GAUUUCAGUUUUUAAAAUAUACAAUUAUAUGCUGUGAUGGCUCAAAGGAUAAUGAGAAUUUGUUUAAAGUUUUUAUAAAAAGUUUUACAAAAACAAUAAAUUUCUUAAUUUUUUCAUGUAGGAUAACAAGGACUUGAACUUUGUAGAGGAACAGAAAAGUGAACGCAGAAAGUAAUUUCUGAAAUUCUAGAUGCAGUUGAUUUUUAAAAGUUUCAGGGAUUUUUUACAAACAUUUUAAGAAUAUGAUAGAUAAAGAAAAUCUGGUUUUCACCUUUUGAUGUUAUUGUCUGUCUGUCUGUCUGUCUGUCUGUUACUAGUAAUUACAGUGCCCCUCAAUCAAAACUAAAACAUUACAUGUGACCAACACCUAUCAAAAUAGGAUGUCUGUAGAAGUUUGUAAAAAUAGUUUUCUUUUAAAAUUUCUGAAAGAUUUGUUUUUCAUUUAAUUAGUUAUCUUUGUGGUCUUCGUGUGUGCAGGCACAAUAUCCAUGCUUGCAGUUUAAUUAUGCUGAAUCUCCCUGCUUUCUCCUGAUGCCCAAAUUAGAUUAAUAUUCAGAAAGAUCACGUAGCUGGCAUUAUCCCAGGUGCACAGCAUCUGCUGGCUUUAAGAGUCAGGAAGGAAACAUUGAUAUUCAUAUUCUGUUCUAUUUCUCUCAGCUAGACAUUUAAUUCUCCAAGAUUCAGUGGUGUCCAUAGAAAAAUAUGAUUGUGUCACUCAAUUUAGCAUUUCCAAGUCUCAUAUGCAUAAGCCAACUUACCCUACCUUCAGCAUGUUUUUCUUUGUGAUUUCCAGGGACCUUACUUUUUCUGUAGUCUGGUUGAUUUUCUCUUUCCAGGUGAACAAUAAAUAGUGGCACUGCAUUUUUUGAUUCUCUCUUUUUGUUUUGAGAGCUACUCUAGGUUAAUGUGAGUGCAGUGAUUAUAAUAACUAUUCCUUUCUUUGUGAGUCUUUCUGGAAACACACCAGAAAGAGAUGAACACACCAGAAUUCUUGGACUACUUUCAGCAAAUAUAGCCCUCAACAAACAAGAUGGAUAUUUCAUCAUUCUAUCUCAUGGGAUGGAUUAGGAUAUUAAUUAACAAGAGAGAAAGUAUUAUGGACCAUUCCAAAGAUAAGAAGAUAAGUCUGAUUCAUUAGAAAUCAGGGAUUAUAGAUUGGAAAUGGAAUUCAGUUCAGAACUUCAACUUGAGGCCAAAUGUGUGAAAUGCUUUAAAAUGCAAGGUUCAGUUAAAAAAGAAAAAAGAUUUGUCCGUAGGCUACUGUGAGAAAAUUUCAAACCUCCUGCAGCUGCUUCAUAUAUAUAUAUUUGUCAGAAUGGGUAUGGAAAUAGCAAGAAUGGAAGAACUAAAGGUCAUUAACCUGCAAAAUUUUAGCCAAAGAGCUUCAAGGCAUUCACAGUAAUUUUAUAAAAUAUUCUCCUUGUUCUUUUAUCAAGGCAAAGAUAGCAAAGAUGAAGAAAGGACAGCACAGAAACUCCCACAUUGUAUAGCAAAGAGUCUCUAGAGAAAUUGACUGAAGCAAGGCAGAAAGUAGCCUACUACACAAAUAAAAACUUCUCAAGAACUGCUUUAAAAAUCUGCUUCAGAGGGGUAAUUCAACUGAAUCUUCAUUGAACUGAAGCAGUCCCUCAAAUCUUUGCACAAUUCUGAUAAAAGCCUGGUACAAACUAUACAAUGGGAGAAAUACAGAUAAACAGAAGCUGAUGUACAAGACAACUCUUCCUGGUUGGCAGCAUGCUGAUUUCUGCAUAUCCAUUCCAAGGAGCAGCCUUCUCUCCAGUCAUGAGGUAUCAUCCUCCUGAGAGUAGAAGAGGCACACAAUUCAUAAGCCUGAUGUGGGUAUAUAGGUGAGCACCAGCAUACCUUCCUCCAAGAAGGUCACUAGGAAGAGCCAUAGUUGGAGAAAAAUAAACAAAAGAGCCAUGAACUUUGGGCAGUGUUUAGCAAUAGUUUGUUACGGGAUCAAUUUUUGUAAGCACAAUGGCCAUUGGAGAGCUCCCAGUGCCUUGUUACCAUGCGUGGCUAGACUUGGCAUCAACAUCAUUUUUAAAAUCAUUUUUUAUUUAUUUAUUUGUCAAGCACGUAUUAGAUAAUAUAUAUAAGUAUAAGCAUGAAUUGACUACAUAAAAUGAAUACAGUCAAAGGGAACAUUAGGACAGGGAUGGUAGGCACGCUGGUGCUCUUAUGCCCGCCCCUUACAGACCUUUUAGGAAUGGGGUGAGGUCAACAGUAGACAGUUUUAGUUAAAGUUUUGGGGGUUUUGGGAUGAGACCACAGAGUCUGGUAGUGCAGUCCAGGCAUUGACCAUUCUGUUGCUGAAGUCAUAUUUUCUGCAAUCGAGUUUGGAGUGGUUCACUUUAAGUUUGUAUCUAUUUUGUGCUCGUGUAUUGUUGUGGUUGAAGCUGAAGUAGUUAUUGACAGGUAGGACAUUGUAGCAGAUGAUUUUAUGAGCUAUGCUUAGGUCAUACUGAAGGCAGUGUAGUUCUAAAUUUUCUAAGACCAAAAUUUCAAGUCUGGUGGCAUAAGGUAUUUUGUUACGAGAGGAGGAGUGGAGGAGUCUUCUUGUGAAAUAUUUCUGGACAUGUUCAAUUGUAUUAAUGUCCGAUAUGCAGUGUGGGUUCCAGGCAGAUGAGCUGUAUUCGAGAAUUGGUCUAGCAAAUGUUUUGUAUGCUCUGAUUAGUAGUGUAAUAUUA